CUCUCUCUCUCUCUCUCUCUCUCUCUCUCUCUCCUCCCACCACCCGGUCUCUCUCUCUCUCUUUCUCUCUCUCUCCUCCCCCCUACCAGUCGCCGCCUGCCUCCCUUCUCUCUUCAAACACCACCGCCCGUCGCCUCCACCGCCACCACCGCCCUCGCGCCCCCCACCACCCGGUCGCACCCGCGUCGCCGAAGGAGGGCGGCGCCGCCGACAAGAAGAAGAGGCGCGCCGUUCAUCUUCUCCUUCAUCCCGCGUCGUCCUUCCACGUCGUCCACGUCCGCCGUCCAUCUUCUCCUUCCUCCAGCGCGCCGCCCUCCUCUAGGGCUCCAAUUUGUGGAGUUGUGGAUUCGAGAGGAGGCCGUGGAUUUGGGAAUAUAGGGCUCCGAUUUGGGGAUUUAAUUUCGAAACUUGUUUAGAAUUAAUUUCGAUCUGAUUUCUGAAAAUUUUGUUUGGUUUCUUCGAUUUGGUUUCUGAAAUCUUCGAUUUGGUUUCUUCGAUUUGGUUUCUGCAAUUUCUUCAAUUUUGGGACGGGUUUCAGGAUGCGGUAGAGAGAUAAAUGAGGCGGUGGGGCGGUGGUUUUCGCCGUUGUUUAGCCGGUCGGACUGUGGAAGGAGAUUAGGGGAGAGAGCCACCGACUGCGGAAGGAGAUUAGGAGGGGAGAGAGAACAGUGGCAACAAUUCAUAAUUAAAAUUAACACUAAAUUAAGUUUGUGGGAUAUACACUUACCUCUUAAUUUUACUCUCCUAAAUACCCGUGCCGAAAAGUUUUGAGCCAUGAUUAACGGGACGGAGGGAGUAAUUGUUUAUGAGUUAUAUUAGUUAAUAACAAAAAAUUUAUACUAAGUUAAAUAUUAAUAUUUAAUUUAAAAUAGUGUAUAGUACUCCCCCUCGUCCACCAAAAAAAGUCAUACUUACCUAUUUUUUUAUCCAUAAAAAAGAGUCUCAUUUAACUUUUUGAACCAUCACAUGAUACAUUUUUCUCUUACCUUUAAUUAUAAAUUGUACUUUUAUUCCAUUUUUUAACUUAAAAUGUACUUUAUUCUACAUUUUUGUACUAAUAUUAUCCCUACAAAUUGUACAUUUAUCUCACUUACACCUACUUUAACAAUUUUCUUAAAACUCGUGCCAACCCCAAAUGAGACUCUUUUCGUGGACGGAGGGAGUAAUAAUUUUAUCAAUUUAAUGAGCAGGGGUAUAAUAUUAUAUUUAAUGAGUAUUGUAUAAUACUCCCUCUCUCCCAUUAAAAGUGGCUUGUAUUCCCCUUUAAGUUGUCCCACUAUAAGUGGCUUGUUCCAUAAAUGACAAAAUUUAACACAUAAAAAAGUGUAGGCUCUACCACUUUACAUCUUCUUCUUAUUUUACGUGCAAUAAAGCAACCAAUCAUUUUUAAUGGGACGGGGGGAGUAAUAAUAAUUAAAUUUACAGAUUCUAAAGUAAAUAAUUUAAAUCUCUCUCAUGUUGAGCAAAUAACAAUAAAACAUCAAUAACAAUAUUAAUAGUGUUAAUAGGUGAAAAUGUCAUAUUCCUUAUGUUGUAUAUGAAAAAUGUCAUACUUUAUAAGCUUAAACAUUUUAUGUCUAAUUAUGUAAAGUACCUAUUUUAUCAUUUGAUGUUGAUGAGUUUGCUUGGUUUUUUGUAAAAGUCUUACACAUUUGAUCGAUUUAUUGACCGAUUUGAUAACUAUCAGUCAUAAAAAUCAACGAUUUGACAGCUAUCAGUCAAGAGUACAUAUGACCGGUGAGUGGCUAGAUCAUGUGUCCGCCCAGGCGGACACAUGAUUUUAUCACCCAGAUUAUGUGUCCGAUCGGUAAAAUCAUGUGUCUGCCCAGUAAAAUUAUGUGUCCGCCCUAGCCAUCCACCGAUCAUACGUACUCUUGACUGAUAGCUGUCACAUCGUUGACUUUUAUGACUAAUAGCUGUCAAAUCGAUCAACAAAUCAAUCAAAUGUGUAAGACUUGCACAAAAAACAAGCAAAAUCCAUCUAAUCAAAGAAUAUUUAAAGAAUAUGGCAUAAAAUGUUUAUAUUUAUAAAAGAUGAUAUUUUUCACAUAUAACUUAAGGAAUAGAGCAUUUUAAAUUUUCACUCAUAUUAAUAGCCGUCAUAUAAUAUACUCCCUCCGUCCCAAUAUUGUUGGCCACAUUUGGUUUCGGCACGGGAAUUAAGGAGUUGUAGAUUAGUAUUUUAAGUGUGUGGGUAAUAUAGUAUAAAAGUAAUAAAGUAGGAGAGAGAAGUAGGAGAGAGAAUGUGAUAAAGUAGGAGAUAAAAUGUAAUAAAGUGAUCAAGUAGGAGAGAUAAUGUGAUAAAGUAAGAGAUUGAAUGUGAUAAAUAUUUCCAUUUUAGGAAAGUGGCCAACAAUAGUGGGACAAACUAAAAAGGAAAUGUGGCCAACAAUAGUGGGACAGAGGGAGUAAUAAUUUUGGACUCUUAAAAAUUCAAAUUGUAUUAUUGUUAAAAGUUCAUAUUCAAAUGGCCCAAAACUAAUUAAUUUUUUUUAAAGUAUGAAUAAUAUAAAAAAGAAAAUAUAACAAGAAAUAUGUUUAUAUAAGCAAAUAAAUAAUUCGUUCAUAUAAUUAAAUAAUCUAUAUUAUAUUUUAAAUUCAAAUUUAAAGAUAUAUAACUAUUUUUUUUUACAAAUUCAUAUUAAAAUUUCUUUCUCCUUAAUUGCAUUGAAAACUACUAUAAUUAAUUAAUAUUUAAAUUUAAAAUAAUUAUAAUUAAACAAUCAUGUAAGCUUUUUUGCAAGGAAAAAAAGGUGUUUACUUAUUUUUUCACCAACAAACUAAAACAAAAUGAAAAAAGAGUAUGUUGUUCAAUAUUAGAGAUAAAUGAGAGAGAACAAAAAUUAGUUUGAUACUUUAAACAAUCAUAACUUAUUUAUUUUAAAAUUAUUUUUUAUAAUUUUUAUAUCGAAUUAAAAAUCUUCUCGUAAUCUUUAAUUUAAUAUCUAUAUUAAAUAUCUUUUCAUGAUUCGAAGUUAACGAUUUUUAAAACAAAUAUAAAAUAGAAAAAAGAAGAAAGAAUAAAGAAAAUUUAGGUAGGAAAAAAAUUAGAGAGUAGAGAUAAAAUUGGGAGGUAAAAAAAACUCAUCUUUUAGAUGUAUAUAUACUUUAUGUCAAAUUUAAUAAAAAAAUAUUAUAAUGAUAUGUUUCUAUUUUUUACAAUAUUAUAUUUUUAGAGAGAGAAAAAGAGUAAAAUAGAGAGGUUCAAAUAAGUUCAAGAAAAGCGAAUAUAAAAUUAAAAAUAUUUUCAGUACUUAAAUCGUGAAGAUUACUGUGCAUUCAUUACGUGUGUGUGUGUGUGUGUGUACCUAAUCAUAAACCUUGUAUAUUAAAGAUUAUACAUAACACAAACUUAACAAAUUUUGGUGAACUUUAUAAAUUUUAAAAUUUAUAUAGUUCAAAAACGUUAUCUACUCUAUCUCAAAUUUGAGAUAGUUCUUUGUUAUUUGAUUAUUAUUUUUUAUAAAAAUUAAAAUUAAUAAAUAAUUUUAUAAUUUGAGACAGUUCUUUGUUAUUUGAUUAUUAUUUCACUAUAUUUUUUAAUUAAAAAAUUUAAUUUAAAUAUUCUUAUGUUAUACUUGAUAAAAUAAUCCAAUAAAUGAAUUUGAUGUUCUAUUUUUUUUAUUUUUAUCAAAAGAAAAGGGGUUGGUCUCACGUGCGGUUGACCGCACCCCAUGCGGUUGGUUACUUUUAAUGCGCAUGAGAUGUACAUUUGUUCGUAAAAAUAUAUACUUAUGUAAUAAUAAAAGUUUUCACAAAUAAAAGUAACAAUUAUCGUGAAUAAAUGUAAUAGUUUAGAAAUAUUGCAUUUCAUUGUAACAAUAAUUACUUUUUAUUACGAAAAUGAUUACUCGACCAAAUAGUCAAAAAUAAAAGUAUUAAUGAGUGAAAAUAACUAAAAGUAAAAAGUUCUUAUAAAUAAAAGUAUACAUUAUUGUGAAGAAAUGUAAACUUUCAAACCGUCCGCAUCGUAUGCAGUUGACCGCACAAGAGAAUUUGCGAAAGAAAAGAGAAGAGUAGAGAAGAGAGAUAAAUUUUGUAGGAGAAAGAGAGAUAAAUAGAGAUAAUGGUUGAAUUUUUAAAUCUGGAUUGGAAUGCACUUGGAAUUUUUGGUUUGAUUAUGCAAUUUGGUUGUGUGAGUUCACAGUUAUGGUGAUAAUGGUGGUUGGCGGUGUUGUCGGCGGUGCAGUGGUGGUCGUCGGUGGUGGGCGAUGGCAGACACUUAAAAUACAGUAAAAACAAUCACUAACCAUUUACUAAUCAAAUACACUAAGAAGGUGGGACACCCUACUGUAUUCUCUAAUCUACCUCACCUUAAUCUUUGUGCCCAAAUGAAGUAUAUUUUCAUUAUUGGGACGGAGGGAGUAACAACUUAAGGUGAAUAAGGAGAGAGAGAAAAAAAAAAGAAUAUAGAAAAAGAGAGAGGAGAGAAAGAAAAAUAAUUACUUUAAAAUUUUAAAUUAUAAUAACUUAUUUAUUUCAAAUUCAUAUUUAAUGAUUUUUACAUCAAAUUAAAGAUCUUGGCAUGAUCUUUAAUUUAAGAUACAUAUCAAAUAUAUUUUUCAUAAAUCAAAUUUGAAUAUUUUUAAAAAAUCAUAGAAGUAUGUGUGAUAAAAUAAGGAGAGAGAAAAUGUGGAAAAAAAUAUAUAUAUUCUCAUAUCUUUUCGUAACUUAUAGUAAAUAUUUUCUUUUUCCUCUUUCAUCUCUUCCUUCUCUUUUUUAUUCUAAAAUAUUAUCCUCAAUUAAUAUUAUAAUUGCAAAAAUGUCAUCAAAUUGACGAAUAAACAAAAGUGGUGUUCUAUAUUAUAUAUAGAUAUAUAGAUUUGACAUCUCUUGCUUUUCGGCUCAUACUUAUCCACACCAAAUCUUGCCUGCCUAUUUUGAUUAUUUUGGCCACACAUUUCUAUCGAACUCGUAAUCAUAAUUAAUACUCCACGAAGAUGAAAAACCAACACAAUAAAAUUCAAAGGGCCGUGCGAGAAAAGACACGAUAUGUUCAUCUCAUUCCAAUCUUUUGAAAAGGAAUAGAGAGAAAUAGCAAAUAGCACCCUAUUAUAUAAUCCUUUAAUAUGUUUAUUCUUUUAUUUUUUAAUUUUGGACUAUUAGCCCCUCAACAUAUCAUAAAGAGUGUAAAAUGCCCCCUGUUAUUAACGAACAUUUAACACAGUUAAAUAUUUUUAAUUUUUUUAAUUCUUAUUAUAAGCAUAUAAUUUUUUGAAUUUAAAUUUAAAUGUUUGUAAUNUUGUUAAUCGAUUUGACAGCUAUGAGUCAUAAAAGUCAACGAUUUGACAGCUAUAAGUCAAGAAUACAUAUGACCCGUGAGUGGCUAGAUCAUGUGUCCGCUCGAGUGGACACAUGAUUUCACCGGGCGGACACAUAAUUUUACCGGUCGGACACAUGAUCUAGCCACCCAAAUUAUGUAUCCGACCGAUAAAAUCAUUUGUAUGCCCGGGCGGACACAUGAUCUAGCCAUCCACCGGUCAUAUAUAUAUACUCUUGACUGAUAGCUGUCAAAUCGUUGACUUUUAUGGCUGAUAGUUGUCAAAUCGGUCAACAAAUCAAUCAAAUGUGUAAGACUUGCACAAAAAACAAGCAAACCCAUCUAAUCAAAGAAUAUUUAAAGAAUAUGGCAUAAAAUGUUUAUAUUUAUAAAAGAUGAUAUUUUUCACAUAUAACUUAAGGAAUAGAGCAUUUUAAAUUUUCACUCAUAUUAAUAGCCGUCAUAUAACUAUUCAAAUUUUAUCACACCAAAAUGGAGGGAUAAUAUUAUUCCUCCUUGAAGUGAAAAUAAGAAAGGAAAAAUAGUGUUUGUGUAAAAUGUAGGAUAAGAAAACAAACAUUUAAAGGCACAAAUUUUUGUUAUUUCUCCAUUUAGAGGGAUAAAAAGCAAACACACCCUUAUAGUAAGAAAUAUUAGUAAGAAAUAAAAAAAAAAUAAAAAAUACUCAACGGUGUUAAGUGUCCGUUAAAAGCAGGGGGCAUUUUGCACUCUUUAUGACAUGUUGAGAGGCUAACAACCCAAAAUCAAAAGAUAGGGAGGUAAACGUAUUAGGGGGUUAUAUUGUAGGGGGUUAUUUGCUACUUUUCCCAAAGGAAUAUUGCAAUUUUAGAGAAAUGUUAUGCUACAGAUCUUAUAUCUUAUGUGAGUACUGUUCAUAUUAAGUAUCUGUUAGCAUUAUUUUUUUGAUUUUAAAUAUUUAUUUUUAUUUUAAUACUUCAUAAAUUAUUAUUGAGAUCAUUAAUUUUAUAAAUUAUAUAAAAAUUAAAGUUUAAUUUAUUUUAUUAAUUAUUUGAAGUUAAAGGGAAUAUGAACAAAUCGAUCUUUGAUUUUUAUAUAAUUUAUAAAAUUAAUGAUCUUAAUUACAAUUUAUGAAGUAUUAAAAAAAAAGUGUCUAAAAAAAAUAACACUAACAAAUGUUAAACGCGAGUGAUGUUCACGUAAGGUACGUAGCAUAACAUUUCUAUACAAUUUUAUUUCCAAGGUUUGAGCAUUUAAGCUUUCAAUGAUCUAUAAUUACAAGUAAAUUCUUAGUAUAUUAAAGUAUUUUACGAAAACAUUCUCAAGCCCAUGGAAGAGAGAGGGAGAUUUAAAUCAUGGACUUCGAUUUAAUUUGUAAUUUGACAUGAUUUUUAGAACAUAACAAAUAAUUAUUCAACCUCCCAAUUUUUUAUUAUUAAAAACUUCUCCAAUUUUUUUGGCUGCUUGAACUUCCUAAUUCCCUCAAUUUUUUAUGAUUAAAAACUUCUCUAAUUUAUUUCGCUACUUGAACUUUCUAAUUCCCGUAGUUUUUUUUUUUUUUUUAACUUUAAUUUGAGAAAGUAAAACAUGAACUUUGACGGGUACGAGGAAAGAAAUAUGUGGUAAUAUAUAGAAAUAUCCAAUUUUAUAGAAUUGUCUAUAAAAAAUAUCCACUUCUUAAAAUUGCUAUACUACAUAAUCAUUAUGUAUGAAUUAUGCGUUUGGUGGUAUAAUUAAAUAGAUAGGCGGUAAAAUGGAUUAUAUCAACGGUAUACUUAAAUUGUUGGGAAAUAAUUGAGAUAUCCAACUAGUUUUGGUGAUACCAAAAUUAUUAGAAUGCUUCGCUUGUCUUUAUUUCUAUUGCAUGUCCAAAUGUUCCAGUCCUCACAGGCUCUGAUUGAUGUUGCAAAGAUUUUAGUUCAGUCAGACUAGGAACAAAAGACUAAAGACUAAAGACAACACAACUGAAGCACAGUUCACUGAACAAACACAAGGACGCAUCUCGACUGGAAGUCAUCAGUCAUCAGUAAUCAGUCGAAGAAGUUCACACAUUCAACAUCAACCUUGAACUGAAGACGAAGUCAAAUACCAGUCGACAUUCUGCAUCUAACUGAAGAGAAGAGUACCAGACACGCUACAUUAAAUGCUCAAGUACUACAACAUUAAAUGCCGAAUAUUUGGAGAUCAUCCGUACAUAUGCCAGAGCUCUCCUUUACGUGUAAAGAUGCAGAAGCAACAUACUCCGAGGACAAGACAAUUCAAGAAUCUGUCAAAUGGAGUAUCUGAAGGUUGCCACCUCAGCCCAAGAAGCGACAUUCUCUCACAACGACAGAAACCUUGAAGACCAAGAUCAUCUCUCCAACGAAUCUAUUCAAGACUUCGCCUAUAAAUAGAGCUCGAGAAACAACUGCAAAGUACCGAUUCGAAGACAUACGCUGACGCUCUGCCAAUUUAGAGAGCCAGCACUUCCAUAGACAGAUUUCGAAUCGAAGAAGAGUGUAAUCAACGUUGUAAAAUCAGUCUAGCUGAUUACCUAAACUCUCUUGUUAGUCUAGGCACUUCAUGUCUUAUCCUAAGCCUAGAAUGGAUUACUCGAGAGCCUGUUCUCAGUAAUCUAAGUUGGAAGAGUUCAAACCCUUUUUCAACCGAGAGAAAAGUGAGUUUGAGUGGUUGUUGUUUAGUACCAGAAAACUAAACUGUUGUUGGUUGUGGUUUAGUACCGGUUCAAAACUAAACCGUUCGGUUUCCUUGGCACCCAGAAAGCCAAGAGGGAGUUCAGCUUAAAGGUGCUGGCUCCAAUCACCUUAGCAUUAGCUGAAUGGGCACGACAGUGUCAGGGCGUGCUAAGUGUUAAAUCCAAUUCAGGGUGGAUUGGUAGAUUUUGUUGUGCACCUCUAAAAGCAUAAGCCCGGAAUGUUUGUCAGACAAAUAAUCUGGUUGUGGAUGUAGGAGAGAUGUCUCCGAACCACAUUAAAAAUCCUUGUGUUUGUUACUUGCUUUUAGUUAUUUCCUUUAUCUGUGCUUAACUGGAUUAAUUGAAAAGUGUAACCAAGGAUUUUACAAGUGACAAACAUUUCGCACUAAGUUUAAAUUCCGCUGCUGAGUUAUUAAUCCUACUGACGACUGAUUGUCAGAGAGAUUAAUAACUCUACUCUGUUUUACAAACUAGACUGAAGCCUUACUUGAAUAUCAGCUAAGCCCAGUGCUCGACUAUUGUCAUCUCACUGAAGCUUCUUCAGUAUCAAUCUACAACUGAUUUCUAACUGAAACUGGUUAAGUUUGUUUUGAAUGCGAAAAAUAGCCCACGGGUGCAUUCCCCCCCCCUCCAUACACUUGUCAGUCAACCCUCCGGGACCCCAACAAUUGGUAUCAGAGCAGGUUGUUCGCAAGAACAAUUUGUUCUAACCUAGUUCUUACUGAACUAGAUCUUACACAAGGGUUUUCUAAAUUCUUAAAACUUUUUUCUCUCUUCGAACGUGCUUUGUGCUCCCGCCCUUUUUUCUCUUGUCUUUCUCCUUCCUUUUCUCAUGGCCAGGAACACUGAAGAUUAUGCAAGCAACUACAUCGGCACCUUCUUCCGUGGAGUCAACGGCCUCGAAAUUGGAUCCUUGGAUUCUGAUUCCGACGAUUCAUUUAUUUUCCCUGAAGAAAAUGAGAGUCCAAAACACUCACCUCUGGGAGAAGUGAAUGUGUAUGAUCAAGUCUUACAUAAAUACCAAGACUUGAGAAAGGCUUUUGAAGACCUCAUUAAGGAAAAUCGGAGAUUAGAGAAGCAGAUCAGUAAAGUAUGGUUUGAUCAAGAAACGAUCAUUCUCUACUUCCCAGAUGAAGCAGAUGUCACUACAAAAAAACACGCGUUUAACGACCGAAAUUAACGAUCGAAAUUUUCGGUCGUUAAUUUUGCGGCCUUAACGACCGUUUCAUGACCGGUUUUAUUUUUUAUUUUAUUUAUUUAUUUUUAUUUUUUAACGACCGAAAAUUCGGUCGCUAAUUAUUUUUUUAAUAUUUUAAUAUUUUAAUUUUAUUAACGACCGAAAAUUCGGUCGUAAAAAUUAUUUUUUAUUAUUUUAAUUUUAACGGACCGAAAAUUCGGUCGUUAAUAUAUACGUUUUACGAAAAAAAAAUUUUUUAAAAAAAAAAUUUUUUUGAACGACCGAAUUAUUCAAUCGUUAAUAUAUUUUUUUUAAUUUUUUAAUAUUUUUAAAUAAAAAAAUAUUUUUUAAAUACCGAAUUUGUCGGUCGUUAAAAUUAAUUUUAUUUAUUAUUUAUUUAUUUAUUAUUUAUAUUAAUUUUUUAUUUAUUUAUUUUAUUUAUUAACGACCGAAUAAUCGGUCGUUAAUAUUAAUUUUUCAAUUUUAAAAUUUUAAAUUUCGUUUUUAUUUUUAUUUUUAUUUUUUGAUUAUAUAUAUAUAUAAAUAUUUAAUUAUUUUUUAUUAAUUCUCUAUUUAAUUAUUAUUUUCUAAAUUAUAGAGAAUAUUUUAAAAAUGAUUGUUAUUUUCAUAAUAUUAUUCUAAAAAAAAAGAUAAUAUUGAUUAUUAAUAAAAAUGUGAUAUUAUUUGCAAAUAAUAAUAAAUUAUUAGACUUAUUAUAAUAAAUUAUUAGACUUAUUAGAUUUCUAAUUAUUAGAUUCAUUAUUUCAAAAUAUUAAUAAUUUUAUUAUUUAAAAUAAUAAAAUUAUUUUUCAAAUAUUAAUUUUAUUAAUAUUGAUUAUUUGAUUUAAUAUUGAUUUUGUUGUAUAUUUGAUGUUAUUUUUCAUACUCAUAUUUUCUUUUCUUUUUUUAGUACGAUAAUAUUAUUUUUUAUUAUUUUAAAUUCGAUCGUAUAUUUACGUCAAUGUUUCGCGACACCACAAAUCUUAGUUAUUAUCUCGACAUAUUAUAAGGUUAUGAAUGAUUAAUGAUAUUUUAUAUUGAAUUAGAGUUUAAAUGAAUUAAUAGGUACUAUAUAUAUAAAUAAUACAGUUUCUUACUGGUGACUACUCGAAAGAACUUCAAGGUUAAGCGUGCUUGAUUAGAGCACAAGUAGAGGUGACCUACUGGGAUUCGUCAAAUGGUAUGCAAUUAAGUAAAAUACAUUAGAAAUACAAAAAAUACUUGUGGGAUACAAAGAUAAAAAAAAAUUAUUUUUUUCGAAAAAAACAAUAUUUUUUUUAUUAAUUUUUAACGACCGAAAAUUCGGUCGUUAAAAAUAAAAUUUCGGUCGUUAUUUAAAAAAAUAAAAUAAUAAUUUUUUAAUUUAUAUUUUUUAUUUUUUUUUCUCUUUUUAACGACCGAAAUUUCGGUCGUUAAAAAUAAAAAAUCGAUCGUUAAAUUUAACGACCGAAAAAACGGUCGUUAAAACUCGGGCGACGAUGCAAACAACGACCGAUUUUUGGGUUUUAACGACCGAAAUUUCGGUCGUUAGAGCCGCAUUUUCUUGUAGUGAACUAGGUUUACGGUUUCAGUUCAGUUCAGUUGUGAAUUUACUGUUUCAGUUGUGAAUUCACAAUCAUAAUAAUUCACAACUAGGGUUUAGGUUUAGGAUUUAGGGUUUAGGGUUUCAGUUCAGUUCAAUUGUGAAUUUACUGAUUAAGUUCAUUUGUGAAUUUACUGUUUCAGUUCAGUUGUGAAUUCACAAUCGUAAUAAUUCACAACUAGGGUUUAGGUUUAGGGUUUCAAUUCAGUUCAGUUGUGAAUUUACUGUUUCAGUUCAGUUGUGAAUUCACAAUUGUAAUAAUUCACAACUAGGGUUUAGGUUUAGGGUUAGUGUUUCAGUUCAGUUGUGAAUUCACAAUCGUAAUAAUUCACAACUAGGGUUUAGGGUUUCAGUUCAGUUCAGUUGUGAAUUCAAAACCAAAAAAAUCUGGUUGUGAAUUAAAUUUUGAUUGUGAAUUCGACUGGUUGUGAAUUCGAUUGGUUGUGAAUUGCGGGAUUUUUUUAAAGGGGUGAUGUAAAGUGGACAUUUUUUUAAUUUUUAAUGUGAAGGGUAUUUUGGUAACACUGGCCAUUUUUAAUAUUUUUAUCUUAGUGGACAAUUUUUAAUUUUACAAUAUGAAAGUGGCCAUUUUAAAAAUCCACUCUAAAAUUUAUAUGAUUUAAUAUUUAAAAUGUUAUUUUUAAGAUAUAUAUGUAUAUAUAUAUAUAUAUAAUUAUUUACCUACAAAUUUAUAUUAGUAUAAAUUUUACUUUAGAAAAUUAUUUUUAAGAUAAAGAGUUCUAAAAUGAACAAAUAUAAGUUUUAUCUUUUUAGUUGCAUUAAAUUGUUAUAAUAAUGAAAGAUAAGAAGUGAAACAUUAAAUUUGGAGAAAUGAGAGGAUAAAGGAAAGAUGAUAGAUUAGAGAGAAAAAUAUAAUAAUUUUAUGAUUUUAAACGAUAAUAACUUAUUCGUUUCAAAUUUCUUUUUUAUAAUUUUUAUAUUAAAUUGAAGAUCUUUUCGUUAUCUUUAAUUUAAUAUCCAUGUUGAAUAGUUUUUUUAUGAAUCAAAGUUGUUGAUUUUAAGAAAAGAAUCAAAACAAAAAAAGGUAAACAAGGAUAGAGAAAUUUUGGUGGGAAAAAGUUAACGUUAGACUUCUCUUUUAUAUAUUAUAUUAAAUAAAUUAUAAUUAACAAUAAAAAUAUAAUUAACUAUAGAUAUUUAAAUAAAAAUCCAUAAUCACUUAAUUUAAAUACAUAUAUAAUAAUGACGUGGUCUCCUGUACACCCGGGUUGUACCCGACCCAGAUCCUGACCCAAUUGGACUAUCUUGAUCCAUUUUUUCUUCAAAUGACACUAAUAUUAAUAUGAAAUGACACUAACACUAACACGAUCUUGGAAUGACACUAACACUAUUUUGUUUUACAAAUGACACUAUUUGAAAAAUAACACUGACACUAUUUUGUUUUACAAAUAAUACUAUUUCGAAAAUGACACUAACACUAUAUUGAAAUGACACUAUAUGAAGAUGACAUUAACACUAUAUUGAAAUGACACUAACACUUGACAUUCGGGUAGGAUAGUCCAGUUGGGUCAGAUUCGGAUCAGGACCCUAGUGUACCGUACACUCGGAUGUACAAAAGACUUUGUGUAUGUUAGAAAUAUAGUGUUAUUUAUGGUAUGAUAGAAUAGGGUUUAUUACCUUCCUUAUAUAGAUUAGAAUCUCUUGUAUAUUUAUAUGUGCAGUGUCCAGUGAUAUGAUAUACAGAAAAUUCACCCCAAUUAUGUUUUACGUUGCUUUCUUACAUGGUAUUAGAGCAAUCGAUCUAGGGUUUGAGAUUUAGGAUUUUUCAAAAAAUUUCAAAUUUGAAAAUUAGGGUUUACAGAAAAUUAGGGUUUACCCUAGCUGCCGCUGUCUACCUCCGUUCUAGCCCUAACCAUUCGACACCUCCAGUUCAGGGAGGUGCACCGUUGUCCGGCGACCUUACGCCUGAAGUCCGGCGGCCACCGGAGUCCGGCUGACCAGAGGCAUGUUUCCGGCACGUAACGGCGCGUGCGACACCGGAAUCUGCUCUUUCGUCUCGACAUCCUCUUUCGAUCUGUGUACCUGUUAGGGUCAAUACCAGAGUGGUGUUGGAUCCGUUUCGGUACAGCUUCAAUUUUCUAGCAGUUUUCGUUUCUGUUUUGUGAUUUUGAUUUUCAACAUGUCUGAUGCGGAGCCUAGGACUGUUGAUAUUAUGCCUGUGAUGACUAGAAUCACAGAACACAAACUUACUCCAAACAAUUAUAUGGAUUGGCGUCAAACUAUUGAACUUUAUCUUUUGAGUAUAUCUAUGGAUAAACAUAUGACUGAUGAUUCACCAUCUUCCGGUGCUUCACAACUUACAUGGCUUCGAGAGGAUGCUCGGUUGUUCUUGCAGAUUCGUAAUUCCAUCAGUAGCGAGGUCGUUGGCAUGAUUACUCACUGCAAGAUGGUUAAAGCUCUUAUGACUUAUCUUGACUUAUUGUAUUCGGGGAAAGAAAACAUUUCUCGAAUUUAUGAUGUGUGUCAGGCAUUUUAUAGGUCGGACAAAGGGGAUCGCUCGAUUACAGAGUAUUUCAUGGCAUUCAAGAAGGCUUAUGAAGAACUUAAUUCACUGCUUCCUUUUAGUAGCGAUGUCAGUGUCCAACUUGCCCAACGGGAGAAGAUGGUUGUGAUGAGUUUUUUGGCGGGCCUUCCGGAUGAUUUUGAAACUGCUAAAUUACAGAUUCUGUCCGACUCUAAGAUUUCCUCCCUUCAAAAAGCUUUUUGUCGAAUUCUUCGGACUGAACGUUCACCCUCUGUCCCUGUCUCUCACCUUGGGAGUGUCCUGUCAGCCGUGCUCCUACAUAUGAGUCUGGGAAGACUCAAUACAAGCACAACGGGACCAAAGGACAACCUUCAGCAUCUCGUGGGCAGGGACAGUGGCCUUCCUCUGUGGAAUGUCGCUAUUGUCAUGACUUUGGACAUAUCAAGAGGGAUUGUCCGAAACUGCGCAAUAAGAAGCCUUCGUCUGCUCAUGUGGCAGACAGUGGCAAUCAUAGUGGCGCGUCUAGUGAUUCUGUCACUAUUUCAGCCAAUGAAUAUGCCAAGUUGUUACAGCAACAAGAGAUAAGUCCAUCCCAUUCUGUCACUGCUAUUGCCGAGUCAGGUAAACCUAUGCUUGUCUAGUUUCCUCACCUUCCAAAUGGGUCAUAUAUUCUGGUGCCACCGAUCAUAUGACAGGUAAUUCCAAAGUAUUCUCUACCUUUGAGUCUCAAAAUACCUAUUUUCCCGUUACAUUAGCUGAUGGAUCCCAAUCUUAUGUUGUUGGAUCAGGAACGGUCAAUCCUACACCGUUUCUAUCCCUGUCUUCUGUUCUUAACCUUCCUAAACUCUUGUUCAAUUUGGUCUCUGUGAGCAAGCUUACUUGCACUCUUCGUUGUAGUGUCUCAUUCUUUUCUGAUUAUUGUUUGUUUCAGGAUCUUGCGACGAAGAAGAUUAUUGGUAAGGGGCAUGAGUCAGAUGGUCUCUACAUUCUUGAUACACAACCACCUUCAUCAGUAACAUGUACCGGAACCAUCUCUCCUAUGGAAGCACAUUGUCGGUUGGGACACCCCUCUCUAUUAUCCUUAAAGAAGUUGUGUCCCCAACUUACCAAGUUGUCAUCUUUAGAUUGUGAGUCUUGUCAGUUUGCAAAGUUUCAUCGUGUUAGUUUAAGUCCUAGAGUCAAUAAACGAGCUAAUGCUCCAUUUGAGUUAGUCCAUUCUGAUGUUUGGGGUCCUUGUUCUGUGACAUCAAAACCUGGGUUUCGUUAUUUUGUCACUUUUGUUGAUGACUACUCUCGUAUGACAUGGUUAUAUUUGAUGAAGAAUCGUUCUGAGUUAUUUACCCAUUUUUCUGCCUUUUGUUCUGAAAUAAAGACUCAAUUUGGUGUGCCUGUCAAAAUUUUACGAAGUGAUAAUGUUAAAGAAUAUUUGUCUCAUACAUUUCGUAAUUAUAUGAUGCACAACGAUAUUCUUCAUCAAACUUCUUGUGUUGACACACCAUCUCAAAAUGGUGUUGCCGAAAGAAAAAAUAGACAUCUUCUUGAGACCGCUCGAGCUUUGUUAUUUACUAGAAAAGUUCCUAAGUAUUUUUAGGUUGAUGUUGUCUCGACUGCUUGUUUCCUCAUCAAUCGGAUGCCAUCUUCCGUUCUUAGUGGUGAGUCACCCUUUCACGUUCUCUUUCCAUCUCAACCUUUGUUUCCCAUUGAGCCCAAAAUAUUUGGUAGUAUGUGCUAUGUUCGAGAUGUUCGACCUCAUGUUACAAAAUUAGAUUCGAAAUCUCUAAAGUGUAUAUUUCUGGGGUAUUCUAGGGUUCAAAAGGGUUAUCGGUGUUUCUGUCCUAGUCUCAACAAAUAUCUUGUCUCCAUUGAUAUUUCCUUUUCUGAACACAUACAUUUCUCUCCUGACCUCACUCUUUCUCCCACUAAGGAAGAUGAUCCUGACUUUCUCAGUUAUACAGUUUCCACACUGAUAGUUCCUCCAUCCGAGUCUACUAAGCCACCCAUCGUCCAAACAUACUCUCGUCGUCCUCCUCCUUCCGUGCCUGCUCCUACUGAGGUGGUUCGUGAUACGUCAUCUUCGUGUCCCGAUGAGCCAGUAUCUUCGUCGUCAGAUCCAACUCCGAGUGAUGAUCUUCACAUUGCCCUUCGCAAAGGUAAACGCACUUGUACGUAUCUCAUUGCUGCAUUUGUCUCUUAUGCUCACUUAUCUCCUGCCACUCGUGCUCUUGUUGCUUCUCUUGUUCGCAUUCCUAAAACUGUUGCUAAAGCUUUGGCUCAUUCUGGUUGGACCGCUGCUAUGGUUGAGGAGAUGAAUGCUUUGAUAGCUAAUGAGACUUGGGUUCUUGUUGAACUACCUCCUGGUAAACGAUCCAUUGGUUGUAAGUGGGUGUUUACAAUUAAAGUUAACCCUGAUGGUUCAAUCUCUCGUUUAAAAGCUCGUCUUGUUGCAAAAGGCUAUGCUCAGAUUCAUGGUGUUGAUUAUUCUGAAACUUUUUUCUCCUGUCGCGAAACUGACAUCUAUUAGGCUCUUGAUUUCAUUGGCAGCCUCGAAUCAUUGGCCUUUGCAUCAGUUAGAUAUCAAGAAUGCUUUCUUGCAUGGUGAUCUAGUUGAUAACAUCUAUAUGGAGCAACUGCAUGGCUUUGUUGCUCAGAGGGAGUCUCAUAAGGUUUGUUAUCUUCGUAAAUCAUUGUAUGGUUUGAAGCAGAGUCCUCGGGCAUGGUUUGGUACAUUUACUCGUGCUCUUGAGGAGUUUGGUAUGAAGCAGAGUAAAUCUGAUCAUUCUGUUUUCUACCAAAAUUCUGAUCGUGGUAUUAUACUGUUAGUUGUUUAUGUGGACGAUAUUGUGAUCACUGGUAGUAACUUUGAAGGCAUUGCAUCUCUGAAAGCUUUCUUUGCUACUAAGUUUGAUACUAAAGAUUUGGGAGAGCUUAAGUAUUUUCUUGGCGUUGAAGUGAUCAGAAGCAAGAAAGGAAGAAUUUUCUUGUCUCAAAGGAAGUAUGUGCUUGAUUUACUAUCUGAAACAGGGAAAUUGGGAGCUAAACCACGUAGCACCCCAAUGGUUCCUAACUUACAACUCACAAAGGAUGGUGUGCUGCUUGACGACCCUGAGAGAUACAUGAGAGUUGUUGGAAAGUUGAAUUAUUUGAGAGUAACACGUCCUGAUAUUGCUUAUUCAGUAAGUGUGGUAAGUCAAUAUAUGUCUUUACCAACUGUUGAUCAUUGGAGGGCAGUGGAGCAGAUUUUAUGCUAUUUGAAGGGAGCACCUGGACGUGGAAUUGUGUAUGGUGAUCAUGGCCAUGACAAGAUUGAGUGUUUCUCAGAUGCUGAUUGGGCUGGAGCAAGAGAAGAUCGAAGGUCUACCUCAUGAUAUUGUGUGUUCCUUGGAGGGAAUUUGAUUUCGUGGCAAAGCAAGAAACAGAAGGUCGUCUCACGCUCAAGUGCAGAGUCAGAAUAUAGAGCUAUGGCUAAAGCUACAUGUGAGAUUAUGUGGGUGCGUCAGUUUUUGGUUGAAGUGGGCUUGAAUGUUUCAACACCAGCUAAGUUGUGGUGUGAUAAUCAAGCUGCAGUCAUAUUGCAUCUAAUCGUCUUCCAUGAAAGGACGAAGCAUAUUGAGAUAGAUUGUCACUUUAUUCGUGAGAAGAUUCAACAAGGACUGAUCACUACUGGAUAUAUGAAAAGUGAAGACCAGUUGGGAGAUAUCUUCACAAAGGCUCUUAAUGGUGUUAGGAUUAGUUAUCUUUGUAACAAGCUCGGCAUGAUUAAUAUCUAUGCUCCGCUUAAGGGGGAGUGUUAGAAAUAUAGUGUUAUUUAUGGUAUGAUAGAAUAGGGUUUAUUACCUUCCUUAUAUAGAUUAGAAUCUCUUGUAUAUAUAUAUGUGCAGUGUCCAGUGAUACGAUAUACAGAAAAUUCACCCCAAUUAUGUUUUACGUUGCUUUCUUACGGUGUAUAAUAAUUAUAGUUAGUGUCUUUCAAUUAUUGGAAGAAUAGUAUUUACAACUAAAACUAAAAUAUUUAAAUAUGUAUAUUAUUAUAAUAUUUAUACAAUUCAAGUUAUUAUCUUUUUUAAUCGAGAAUUAACUCAAGUUAAAUUCGACAAAUACAUUUCACCUCAUAAAUAAAUAACUACAUAAAUGUGUUGUGAGAUUCCAAUAUGUGUAUACACAUAAUUAGACUGAUAUAUAUAUAUAUAUAUAUAUAUAUAUAUAUAUAUAUAUAUAUAUAUAUAUAGUGUGUGUGUGUGUGUGUGUGUGUGCGCGCGCGCGCGUGUGUAUACACACACACACAAUAUUAUUAUCUUAUUUUAUAAUUUUGAUAUUUUAAAUAACUUAAAGCCAUAUAUUUAAUUUUUUGUUUCGAUAAAUAAAAUUUUAACAUAUUUUUAUUUAUAUAUAUAUAUAUAUACACACAUAAUAUAUUUUUAUUUUUUUUAUUUAAUCUCAUAUCAUAAAUAAGUGUUCGGAAAAAUUCAUGUUCUGAUGAAUCCCAAAACUACCUAACAUGAUUAUUCAGCGUUGUAAUUAGUUUUUAGCUUAUCUGUUGGGAAGUUGAGUUUCUUUUUACAUGUAGUAAGUCAAGGUGAAACUUAAGAUGAAGUAUCCGUUGAAGAGCACGAAGAAUAGAAGUUUUCGAUCAAAUCAAAACUGAAUAAUACACACUCAGUUGAAGCUAGUGUACCAAUCAACAAAGAAGUCUUCUCAACUGAUAACAAGAUAGCUAACGAAUCAACGAAAGUACUCAGUUACAAAGCCACUAAAUUACUCUAUUGAAAUGUACUUUGUCUGACAGAUCUUCAGAUGAUCUGAUUGCUAAGAGAGAUUGUAUUCUAUGUUGCACAACUGACAGCGACAUUUCACCAACCUUCAAUGAGAAGUUUCUUUUACGAUGAAAUAAAGAAGGAUUAUAUUAAUGAGCUCUCCAACGGACAACGACUCUUUCUUAUACAUGCUCUUAUAUAUACUUCGUGGGUUCAAACACAAUAACUACUGAAACUCUGCACGAUCAAAUCCUACAAGUCUUCUAAAGCUCAAUAACACACUUUUAGCAUAUAAUUGCGAAGAAUGAAUUUUUACAAGCUCAGAAAAUCUCCCAAGCCUACAUGUUAUUUUACUUGAGAUCUCACAUUACAUUUUCUUAGUGAUUAGGUAUAUACUCUUUGUAUACUCCAGCCAGUCUCCCGAGCAAACUGAUCUUUUUGUGUUAUUCUAAUUGUAAAAGUUAGCUCACCCUAGUUGGAAAAUACUUUUGAAACACAUUUUCUUCUAUAAUAAGUUAGGAAGUUAGGUUUAGUGUUAGAAAGUAUAACGUAAGUAAGCGAUUAAGCGUUGAAAAAUUACCUAUCCAAUUGCAUAUACCUCGCACACACAAAAUAGCAGAAACUGUAUAACACAAAAUAUCAACGAAAGUACCACAGAAAGUAAGAACAGUGAACACAAGAGUUGUUCACCCAGUUCGGUUAAACAACCUACGUCUGGGGGGUUACGUGUUGGGAACUUAAUGAAAUAUCCUAGCCCUUAUUUUGAUGAUACCAAAGUCCUUAGGUUUUCUUUGUAAUAGACUAGAAUCUUUCGAACUCAAGUGUUGGAGUUCACCUUCUAGUUUGUUUAGUGUUCUAAAGACUGAAGACCGGAGGAAUGAAGAAUGAAGAACGAAGAACUAAAGACUGAAGACUUAAGAACUCAACUGUUGUUCACGAUUAAAGGCAGAGUCAAAUACUGAUAUUUGACUAAACGAGUUUCUCAACUGAAGAAUCAAUUAUGACUGAUUUAUUAAUGCAGGCCACGUGAAUUCAACGGACUGAUAGUAAAGUCAAGUAUCAGUUAACAUUCUUCCUCGGACUGAACCUCCAGGGUUCUAAAAGGAAGCCACGCACUUCAAGUACAACCGCAUUAAAUGUAGAGAUACAGAGUAUCGUCAUUUCUCUGCAGAGCAUUCCUUUUUGGUGAUUACUUUUCAGAGGCGCCCUACCUCCUGUACCUGAGUAGCCGUUUCUCACCAAAUAAGGAACCUCGAAGAUUGAAGCCCCAUCCAAUUUCGAAUUACCUUCCAACGGAUGAUUUCUUGAAGACCAUCUCCGCCAACGGAUCUAUUCAAGAUUUCUCCUAUAAAUAGAGCUCGAGGAUCACUUCAAUCUUCACCGAUUCAAAUACAUAAGCUGAAACGCUGCUGAAAUUGCAACUCAGCCAAUCAAAGCCUUCCAAAGUUUGAAUCGAAGAAGAGAAUCCUAAAGCCAAAAUCAGUCAAUUGCUGAUUAAUACAUUCUAUUAGAACCUUAGGCAAAUACUUGUUUAUCCAAAGCCUAAGUUACCGAUUACAGAGAGCCUGUUCUCUGUGAUCUAGUUGGUAGUUUUCGAACCUCCUUUCAACUGACCGAAAAGAGAGUUUGAGCCGAGAGGAGUUCAGACCAGUUGUUCUGACUCCAAGAGAUCUUAGCCAGCGCUAGCAAAGGCAUUGUGGUGUCUUAGCGUGCUAAGAGUGUUUGAGAAAUCCAACCCAGUGUGUUGGUACUGAAAAUUUGAUUUUCAGUUGUAAGGUUUGCUGUGCACCCGUAAGCACAAGCCCAGAGUGUUUGUCAGUGUGAUCAACUGACCGUGGGCGUAGGAAUUGGAUUAUGAACCACGUAAAAAUUCCUUUGUCGUUUAUCGCUUUCAGUCUUUACUUUCUUAUUUGUGCACAAACUCGUAAGUUAACUGAAACUGAUUAAUUGCAAAGUGAAACCAAAAUCUUGACAACGUGUUAAUCACAAAGGCUAUUUCAAAAGAAAAGUUUUCCACUGUCAGUGUUAUUAGUCUAACUGAUCAAUCUUCGGAUAGUCAGUAAGAUUCAUAACACUCCUCUGUUUUCCAUCAAGACUGAAGCCUCACGCAUAUCAGUUAAAGCAUUGCGCUUAACUGAUAUCUCUUUACUGAAGAUAGAUUCAGUAUCAGUCUUCAACCUUUGCAACUAAAGUUUUUCUUAACUCUUUUAUCAGUCAAAAGGUUGUGCUUGUUUGUUUUAAAAAUAGCCUAUAGGUGUAUUGCCCCCUUCCAUACACCUAUCCUGACCUUCCAGGACCUAACACCACGCCAAAGUAAAUUAUCCACUAGUGAAGAUAAGAUAUAUACAGGAUUUACUCGACAGACUCUAGCCUCAAUAUCUUCCCAAACCCUCACAACGAUCUACUCUCGAAGCGUGAAUAAAUCCUAUUCACCACCAACACCCACAAUCUAAAUCUUCACCAACAACCUGGUGAAGAUGAAAAAACACAAAAACGCACACCCACGAUCUUGCUUGCUAACAACCAACAAGAUAAACGACGAGCCUGUUCUCUUGGUCACUAUUAUUAUAGCAACAAAUACCGCAACUAACACAGUGCAAUUGUAGCAAAUAAUCAGUAACCGAGUAUCGUAUCCACAGGGACUAUUAUGAUGAAUCACCUUAAGUAAUCCUACCUAAACCCUAGUAAUAUUCAGGCAAACGAAAGAUUUGAUUGAUUAACUAAAACGCUAAUAACGAUAAUUAAAAUCACGUAGGAAAUAUCAAAUAUAAAAGACAACUGAUCCUAGGGUAGUAAAUUCAUUAACUAAAUCUACGUAAUUAAUCUAUUAAUCCUAUGUACCAAUUUAAUCCGGUUAUGAUGAGAGAUCACUUAAUUAAUCAAUUACUCUCGCUAGAGCAGCAACGAUCGUAGAUUAGUAAAUUCUCUAUCUCCGUUAGGUCUCAAGAAAAUCUACUAACUCCCAAUAGCUCCUAAGAAUAGCUCCCUAUGAUCCACCUAUCUCCGCUAGGUCUCAAGGUUAAAAUCAUAUCAUACAUUCCUGAAUCCGCUAAACAGUUAUCUCCGCUAGGUCUCAAACCGAAUAACUACACAUGCAAACUAUUGAUCAGAUAAUUCACAAGAAAUUAAGCACCAGGAAUUAUGAAUCAUAAACUGGAAGGCACAAAGGUAUUAACAAAUUAAUCACAUAAAUUCAAUCAACUAUUUACAAACCCUAGAAUCAGCUAAAGGAAACUAGCUAGACAUAGUAAAAUAAAACAUAAAUAUGAUUAAAAAGAACGCAAUUGUAAAAACGAAUUAUAUAAAAACCGAAUAAAAACUGAAGUAGCGGCUUGAAUCUUCAAUCUUGAUCCAAGCCUUGAAAACUGGAAAACAAUAAAACUAACUCAAGCUAUAAAACUAAAAUAUGAAUGCUAGGGUUCGGGUUCCGAUAUGGUAUAUCUAGAUAGGUCAAAAGAGGACCUAUUUAUAGAUUUCAGAUUUCCUACGAUCAACAUGGAAGUUGCCAUGCAAAGUAGAAUUGUAAAGAUAAUAGAAUCGUGUAAAAUAAGGCAACUCUCCAGCUGGAUGCGCGCUCCGGAAAAUACUCCUACUCUUGCCGAAUUCGCAGCUCUCGCCAGAGGAACGGAUGAUUUCUCUGACCUCGCCAGAGAAAUGGGUCGCCAGCGAAAUGGUGAUUUCUCUGCUCUGUCUUCGCCAGAGAAAUGGUGAUUUCUCUGACUUUUCACUUCCCUGACUAUUGAGCGCUGGACUUUACUUCUCUGAUGCUGGCGCUUCUCUGCAGAGGAAUGGGUGAUUUCUCUGGCUUCUGCGAUUCCUCUGCUCUGAUUUCUCUGGCUUCUCUGGCGAUUGGUUUAUCUGCUCUGGUGAGUUGACUUCGCUGCUCUGGUCUUUGAUUUCUCUGACGCCAGAGGAAUGGUGAUUUCUCUGCUCUGGAGACCAGAACACCUAGAAAACGCCAAAUUCAUCCAAAAUUCUCCAAAAUUGCAUUCUUCCAUCUCGAAAGCCUAAAUCUCCUGCAAAGCAUAAAAUACACCAUAAAACGCACCAAUUUCCAGAAGAUUAUCUUAAAAUACGCACAUACAAACCCUUAAAAAUAGAGUAAUUUAAGCAUAAAUCAACUCCCCCACACUUAGCCUUUUGCUUGUCCUCAAGCAAAAUCUAUAUGAAUCCUAGGAAGAGAUUGAUUUCAACAAUGUUCAUUUCCAUCCAAACAUUCACAAAGUCAAUUCAAAACUUUACAAUCAACACACAUCUCUCGGUCAUGCAAGUAACUCAAAGUUUAAGAAGCAACAAAAGAGUAAUGCAAGUAAUUCGAUCAGACCCAAUUCUCCGCUAGAAGUGAAUUCCCUAAUGUGAUCGCCUUUAUAAUCAAUAUCACCAUUUUUCACACUUUGUGUGCUUAGAAUUUUUCGACAGUUGAGCCAUAAUUCAUGAAAUAAAACCAUUUGGAUGUAAUCCAAAGUCUUUUCACGUGGUUUCCCAUGCUCAUAGUUAGACUAGAGGAGCAGAGACUCAGAGCUGCCACGUUUUCAGAACAGGCCAGAUGUUUCAGAGCUGGCAAUUUUAGAGUUGGCAAUUCGUCCAACUUUCAUUUUCACAGAUAAGAUAUGAUCGUAGGCAAUCACAAUGACAACACUCCUUCUAGCAUCUACCGGACAAAUCACGUUUUACUAACUUACAAAAGUGUUGCAACAAAACUCAUAAUUCUUUGCACAAUCAAGAAACAUAUAUUAAAAGUAAAUCAAGAAUAACCACCAAACAAACACAAACCCGAAAUGCACAUCGAAAACCAUCUUCUCUUCCACAAAUUCAUAAAAAUUAGCAAGAUUCGAGACCAAAAACUAAGCGUAGAAAGAUUGAUCUCACCCAAUUUUUGAAAAAUAUAAGCAACAAAACACCCCCCCACACUUAAAGCAUGCCAUGUCCUCAGGGCAUAAAAGAAAUACGAAGAGUGUAGAAAACGUCCCUGAUUAUCGGCAAUGAAAAGCUGAACCAUCGUGAGAGGCGGUGAAAAUGGAGGUUUGUGACCUUGGGCAGAGUAGAGAGUGGCUGCGCUGGACAGGGCAGCGAAGAGAGCGGCUGCGCUGGACAGGGCAGCGAAGAGAGCGGUUGCGCUGGACAUGAAGACCUCCAGAAAUCUGGCAGAGAAACACAUGCCCAUGGCGGUGGUAUGAACAAAGCGCGAGAUCUCGCAACUUCCAAGCUCAACACCGCACUAAAAAAAACCCAAACAAAACAACAAAACAAAAAGAAACAAAACGAAACUGAAAGAAAGAAAAACAAAACAAAAACGGUUGGGUUACCUCCCAACAAGUGCUUAAUUUAACGUCUAGAGCUCGACGAUACCUCAUGGUCUCAAUGAACAUCAAACGCAGCGGGCGUGACAGAUCGCCUGACACGAACAGAGACAGAGGACUCAUGUGCAUCAGCUGCGUGAAAGACGACGCUUCCAUUGGGCACAUCUAUCAUAGCCCUCCCCGUAGCUAAGAAUGAUCGACCAAGAAUCAACGGCGGAUUUGCAUCUUCAGGAAUAUCGAGGACCAAGAAAUCCGUAGGGAAGACGAGCUUGUCAACCUUCACAAAGAUGUCUUCAAGCUUUCCUCUCGGUUUCACUCUUGAUCUAUCCGCCAUUUGAAUCUCCAUCGAGGUCGGCUUGAGAGCUCCAAUUCCCAACCGCUUGAAAACAGAGAUGGGCAUCACAUUGACACUAGCCCCUAAAUCACAUAGAGCCUCGGGAAAGAGCUCUCCUCCAAUCUCGCACUCAAUGGUGAAGCUACCCGGAUCUUUCUUCUUCGAAAGUAGCUUCAUUGGCAGCUCAGUGCACACAGCUUUCGCCUGCGGGAUUUUCUUAUCCUCAUCACCCAUCUUCUUGGUGUGAACAACUGCCUUUUCUUCUUUUAUCCUUGGGAUAUCCUGCAAUUGUUGAGAGAGUUUGAGGCUGUGCACGCCGGUCCGAUUCUUCAAGUAGUCUCUCUAGCUCAUCCACUAUACGUCUAUGCUCUGUCUCCUCGGGAUUGGCAAUUUUUUUCUCAUUCUUGCAAUGGGAGAUCUCCAGCUUGAUUUCCUUGGCAUCCACCUUUUUGCUCGGCUUCACAGCACAUUGCUCUUCAAGCACCUCCCUCUUCAUCAGCCUACGGGGGAAUGGAGCCUUUGGGAUGUAUUCCCUAAGUGGAACAGGAGCUUUGUAUGGUUCCUCACUUGGUUGUUCAUGCUCCUUGCUCGUCUCCUCACAGUUUGCCAGGAAAAAUUCAAUCGCUUCCUCAUCAUCUGGAGACACAGUGUCAUCGAAAAUUGCAUUGCAUUGGUCAUUCUGCUUGCCUUCGGUAUGUCGAGGCCUGCUCUGCACAACUGCAUGGCUAGCCAUUUGGCUAACUUGCGUCUCCAAAAUCUGUACCUACUUGGACAGUGCUGAAACAUUGCUCCCCAUGUUAGCCAUACCAUUCUCUAGACUAGCCAUCCUUGCACCCAUGUUAUUCUCAACAUUGGCAAUCUUGGCACCCACAGUCGUCUCUAUACUGGCCAUCUUGUUGUCAAUAGUAGUUUCAAAACUAGUCAUCUGCACCAACAACUGUUGCAUCAUCUCUUGAAGUGAUACCUUCUUAGGCUCAUUGACAAUCAUCCUUGUGGAGCUCCGAUCAUGUGGCAAUUGGUAGCUAUUGGAGACCAUCUUCUCCAAUUCAAAAGUGUUUGCCUGCAUAGCUGACCCCGUCACCUCCAUCAAAUUUCCAAACUUGAGAUUGGUACAUGUAAUCGAGUAGUGAAGGUGGUGGAGGAGGUUGUGCACGUCUGUUAGCCUCUUUAAUUUGUCUUUGCUCAUUCAGCUGCCUCUGCAGUUCUGCAAUCAUACGCCACGCAGCUUCAAGAUCAAAAUUCUCAACCAUCGCGUGCUUCUUCUUCUUGCGGUUAUCCAACAGCUGAGACACCAAACGAAAAUAGAAACAGAAAACAAAACUAAAAAUAAAAAUAAAACUAAUUACGACCUGGAAUAAUAGCUUAAGUCUAUCAGAAAUAUUAAAGUAAAUUCUAAAUAGUCCCCGGCAACGGCGCCAAAAAGUUGAUCACUAUAUUCUUAACAACAAUAACUGCAACUAAACAGUGUAAUCGUAGCACAGAANCCUCCAAUUCAAAAGUAUUUGCCUGCAUAACUGACCCCCGUCCACCUCCAUCAAAUUGCCCAACUUGAGAUUGGUACAUGUAAUUGAGUAGUGAAGGUGGUGGAGGAGGCUGUGCACGUCUGUUGGCCUCUUUAAUUGUCUUUGCUCAUCCAGUUGCCUUUGCAGUUCUGCAAUUAUUCGCCACGCAGCUUCAAGAUCCAAAUUCUCAGUCAUCGCUUGCUUCUUCUUCUCGCGGUUGUCCAACAGUUGAGACUCCAAAUGGAAAAUCAGAAACUAGAUAAUUAAAAAUAAAAAAAAAAUAAAAAAUAUUAGGCCUGAAGUACUGCUACGUCUUAUCAGAGCUAUUAAAGUAACUUCUAAUUAGUCCCCGGCAACGGCGCCAAAAAGUUGAUCACUAAUUUCUUAGCAACAAAUACUGCAACUAACACAGGUAAUUGUAGCAAGCAACAAGUAACCGAGUAUCGUAUCCACAGGGACUAUUAUGACGAAUCACCUUAAGUAAUCCUAAUUUAACUCUAGUAAUAUUCAGGCAAACGAAAGUAAAGAUUGAGUUACUUAAACGCAAAUAACAAUAAUUAAAAUCACGUAGGAAAUAUAUCAAAUAUAAAAGACAACUGAUCCUAGGGUAGUAAAUUCAUUAACUAAAUCUACGUAAUUAAUCUAUUAAUCCUAUGUACCAAUUUAAUCCAGUUAUGAUGAGAGAUCACUUAAUUAAUCAAUUACUCUCGCUAGAGCAGCAACGAUCGUAGAUUAGUAAAUUCUCUAUCUCCGUUAGGUCUCAAGAAAAUCUACUAACUCCCAAUAGCUCCUAAGAAUAGCUCCCUAUGAUCCACCUAUCUCCGCUAGGUCUCAAGGUUAAAAUCAUAUCAUACAUUCCUGAAUCCGCUAAACAGUUAUCUCCGCUAGGUCUCAAACCGAAUAACUACACAUGCAAACUAUUGAUCAGAUAAUUCACAAGAAAUUAAGCACCAGGAAUUAUGAAUCAUAAACUGGAAGGCACAAAGGUAUUAACAAAUUAAUCACAUAAAUUCAAUCAACUAUUUACAAACCCUAGAAUCAGCUAAAGGAAACUAGCUAGACAUAGUAAAAUAAAACAUAAAUAUGAUUAAAAAGAACGCAAUUGUAAAAACGAAUUAUAUAAAAAUCGAAUAAAAACUGAAGUAGCGGCUUCAAUCUUCAAUCUUGAUCCAAGCCUUGAAAACUGGAAAACAAUAAAACUAACUCAAGCUAUAAAACUAAAAUAUGAAUGCUAGGGUUCGGGUUCCGAUAUGGUAUAUCUAGAUAGGUCAAAAGAGGACCUAUUUAUAGAUUUCAGAUUUCCUACGAUCAACAUGGAAGUUGCCAUGCAAAGUAGAAUUGUAAAGAUAAUAGAAUCGUGUAAAAUAAGGCAACUCUCCAGCUGGAUGCGCGCUCCGGAAAAUACUCCUACUCUUGCCGAAUUCGCAGCUCUCGCCAGAGGAACGGAUGAUUUCUCUGACCUCGCCAGAGAAAUGGGUCGUCAGCGAAAUGGUGAUUUCUCUGCUCUGACUUCGCCAGAGAAAUGGUGAUUUCUCUGACUUUUCACUUCCCUGACUAUUGAGCGCUGGACUUUACUUCUCUGAUGCUGGCGCUUCUCUGCAGAGGAAUGGUGAUUUCUCUGGCUUCUCGAUUCCUCUGCUCUGACUAUGACUUCUCUGGCGAUUGGUUUCUCUGCUCUGGUGAGUUGACUUCGCUGACUCCAGAGAAAUGGUGAUUUCUCUGACUCCAGAGAAAUGGUGAUUUCUCUGCUCUGGAGAUGUCGGUUCAUUUGGAAAACGCCAAAUUCAUCCAAAAUUCUCCAAAAUUGCAUUCUUCCGUCUCGAAAGCCUAAAUCUCCUGCAAAGCAUAAAAUACACCAUAAAACGCACAAAUUUCCAGAAGAUUAUCUUAAAAUACGCACAUACAAACCCUUAAAAAUAGAGUAAAUUAAGCAUAAAUCAUCUCUCACAAACGAACAAGCUUAGAACUCAAUAAACACACUCAACAAUCAUUAACUAGUUCGUCUACCCACACAUAUAACGAACUCAACACUCACAAGAAACACACUUUAUGAAUUGAAGAAGAGUAAUAAACACAGCAGCAGCAGCCCACUUCAAUGAAAGAUCUCUUCAUCUUAUAUAGAUGUGGCGACGGAAACCCCAGAAGAGAUAUUGUGAACUAAGGACUCUUCUUGAUGACUCUUUAUCUUCAAAUAACAAAGGAGACGUGCAUGCUCUGGACUUUGGAAGCAAGUCUAUCUAAAACCCAUGAGAUAUACUUCAAAAAUGAAUAUAUAGCUACAAACCUGCAGAGGACUGUAUCAGCCAAAGUACCUGACACUGAUUGGUACUUUGCUUGAAAUCGUAUCUGAAUAUUCUCAAGUAUUGCUGGUACAUUGUCUACAUAAUGACAAUCAACAUGAUUUGAGUAUGACCAAUACUCAACAAUCUCCCCCUUUGUCAUUGAUGUAGACAAAACAAGCUGCACAACUCAUGAAUAAACUGCAGCAUACGCAAUCUCAGAACUAAGAAAAGAGAUAAGCCACCAAACUCCCCUUUGAUACAGCACCAAACUCCCUCUCAAUCAACAAUUCAUAUUCUCCCUCCUUUUAUCAAUCAUCAAAGACAACUUCCCCUCAACAAGAGAUAGACGUGUUCUUAUGAAAGAACAUCUUAAAGAACAUACUUCAGAGUAAAACAUUCAUAGCAGGAUCAAGCGUCUUAUGAACAACGAUGGGAGCAACUUCCGUAACAACUACAGUAACACCUGCUGGAACAACGCCGGGAGUGACUUCUUUAGAUUCUCUAGAAGGAACAUUCGCUAAUACAUGAGCACUUUCCUCCAACAAAUUAGAAACUCAUUUAGCAUGCUCGGAAUCAUGUUCCAAUGUGAUAUCUCUAUCUGUCUUAACAUUUUCAUGAACAUGUAUCGGCUUCUGUACCCACUUUUUCUGAAUUUUUCUUAUUUUCUUCACCCGUUUAUCCUUCUGAUAAGAUCUGCAAUUUGAUCUAAUAUGGUCUAGCUUAUCACAGUAAUGACAGAUAGGAUGCCACGUUUUUCCAAAUGUUCCAUUCGGAUGAGGUUGAUCGAUCUUUCCUUUAGAAUAUCCAACGCCCUCUAGUAAUAAGAACUUUAUUUGAUGAAAAAGCUUUCUUGUACACGCCAUCUUUCUUCUAUCAUCAAGAUAAAAUCUUCACCGAGGUCUGAUGUGUCCACGACGACCACAAUAAUGACAAAUAGGAACAAAAGAUUGAGAGAUGUUCCUUCGUGAGGGAAGAUUUUUGUAUGCAGCUGGCUUGUGAUAAUUUUGUGUUGCCUUUCGAUUAUUCUCUUUUGGAAUGGCAACAUCGGGCUUGUGAGUAUCAACUUUGGGAAUCAACUCUUUCUUUAGAAAUCCUAUUCCAGCUUUGUUGUCAAUAUUUUGACCGUUCUCCAGAAUUUCUUCAAGCUUGUCAGUACCCGUGUUCAUCAUUCUGACAAGUUUCUGAUGAUGUUCCAGUUCGCCAAUCUUCAAUUUCAUAGACUGUUGGAGAACGACAAUAUCCUUCUUGAGAUUUUCUAAAAGAUCUUUGAGUUAAUCCCUUUCUUUUGUUACCUCACUGAGCUGUGUGGAUAAGGACUUGUUCACCUCAAGGACUGCAACGCAUUUCUGAUGCAAAAGCUCAUAACUUUUGGCAAGAUAAUUCUCGUCCAACUCCUCUGUAUCAUUGUCUGAAUCAUCGAAAGUAUAAUCCAAAGUAGAAAGUUUUUGAUAUGACUGGAAACCCAUAGAUUAGUCUAAGGUUAAUUGAUUGGUCAACGACUCUCUUGUUCAAUUAGGAUAGUGGACGUCGGAGCAAUUUAUUCCGAACCACGUUAAAUUGUUUGUGUGCUUUACAUUUCAAUAUGUCUACAUGUUGUGUCAAUUGUCAUACAAUCAACACACUUACAUUGCAUCGUUGAUCAUACUCAAACUGAACCCGAUUAAAGUGCACGAGACAAUAAGUUUUCAUUAAUAUUUUCAAACAAAGUGAGUAACUAAAGUCACAUUCCGCAUACAAUCAGUUAUCUGUCCAACUGAUAAGUUAUUCAAUUGUUAGUAGGUUUGGUAUUUGAUCACCACUCUGAAAUUUGUUUUACUCUAUUAUGAUAGAACACUUUCUGGACGAAGUCAGCUCACAAUUAGUGUGCUAAUAUUGUGUUACCUGAAAAAUCAGCAACAAUAUUGUCUUACUUGUUUUGUCAUUCUCAAAUAAAACAAAAAGUUGUUAACUAUUAGUGGAUGUGCUCUUUUAUCUUGUUUGUGCGUUGGAGUGCACUAUUGUGCCCGAUUCCCACCCAAAACCUACUAUUUUAAUGUAUUUAAUAUAUAUAUAUAUAUAUAUAUAUAUAUAGGUUCGUUUCGGUUUCUGAUCGACCCAUGGUAGGGAAACCGAAAUCGAACUGAAAUGUCAUCGGUUUAGGGUUACCGAACCAAAAAUCGACCGUUAAUGAACCGAAUCGAACCAAAAAUGAUCGAUUCGAUCGAUUUUUUUGAUUCAGUUAGAUUUUUGCUCACCCCUAAAUACAAUUGAAGAAUUUGUAUUAUUAAGGGUUCUUAAAUAGGACAAAGAAUUAGCCUUCAAAAUUGUAAACUAGCAACGUACAAGAUUUGGGUGAAUAUGCAAUUUAAGAGUGUGGAAAUUGAUUCUCCUCAACUAGAUGAGGUCGCAAUACGAAUCUAUCUCAAUAUAUCACCAAAUGUAUUUAAGCUCGAACGUAAGAUUAAAGUGUUCACAUAUUCACUGUCUAAAGAUUGAGUUGCUUUAAUCCAGAGGACACUCUCGAUCUAAAGGUUGGCCCACAAAUUCUUCUUGAACAAGCUAGAGCACUCUUGAUCCAAAGGAUAAUUUUGAAAAAUAUGAUUUUUAUCUCUAUUAUCGCACUUUUUCUUUUUUACUUUGGGAAAGGAGAAGAGGGAGCAGUGUGGUUUGAAUCCUAGAUCUCACUGUUCGUAGAGAUGAGUUCGCACUGCUUGGUGUCCCCUAGGGGACUUGUAACAUCAUAGUUAAAUUAUCAAAGAGGUAAGGCAAGAUUUUAAUCAAAAUAAAAUCGAAUCUCAACUUUAUCUUAAAUUGUAAUAAUAUAGGAAACCAAACAUAUAAAUAAAAUAAGAUUAUUUUGCUAUUCAUGCUUUAAAAGUAUUACCCAAACACAGCCUAAUAUUAUAUGCAAAGUAAAGCAUAUAAUUGCACAAGAAAUUGGCCCCUUUAAUCUCUUUUUGUCUUUAUUCCCAAAAUCUUGUCUCCCUCCAAAUUUUUUAAACCCUAAUUUUAUUUAGUGCGCUUUCUGCUCGAAUUCCCUUUUCCAUUUUUCUCCUCCACCGCUUCUCCACCGCCGUCCGCCGUCGUCAUUCUCAUCAAGAUGGCUCCAAUCGACCCCCACUCCUACACUGACUCCAGCCACCCCCUCACCACCCACAUCUCCCUCUCUUUCUAUUUCGAUUUCCCCUCCUCCACCAUCGCCUCCUCCGCCCUCCUCUCCCUUUCCGCCCCCCACUCCGGCCCACUCACACUCGACACCCGCUCCCUCUCCAUCUCCGCCGUGAUCGACCCCGUCACCGGCGCUCCCCUCCCCUUCACGCUCGACCCCCCUUCCCCCGACGCCGUUUUGGGGCAAUCCCUUGUCGUCACCCUCUCCAAUCAGUCGCAAUUGCUCCUCCUCUCCAAGACGACGCCGUCCUCCUCCGCCCUACAGUGGCUGUCGCCGCCGCAGACCUUCAACAAGUCCUACCCCUUCGUCUUCACCCAAUGCCAGGCCAUCCACGCGCGGUCGAUCUUCCCCUGCCAGGACACGCCGGCUGCCCGGAUCAAAUUCGCCGCGAAAUUAAACAUCCCGCGCUACCUCUCGGCGGUGAUGUCCGCGAAGCAUGUAAACCGGCGGGACCCCGCCGCCGGUGAGUGCGGCGGCGCGUGCGACGACGCCCUGUGGUGCGCGGAAGGGAGGGUCGUGGAGGAGUUCGUGAUGGAGCAGCCGGUGCCGCCCUACUUGUUUGCGUUUGCGGUUGGGGAGCUGGGGUUUAGGGAGGUUGGUCCGAGGACAAAGGUGUACUCGGAGGCGGUCCCUGCCGUGUUGGAUGCCGCGGCUAGGGAGUUUGCAGGGUCGGAGGAGAUGAUCAAGGUCGGGGAGGCGUUGUUUGGACCGUAUGAGUGGGAGAGGUUCGAUUUGUUGGUGUUGCCUCCGAGUUUUCCCUAUGGAGGAAUGGAGAAUCCAAGAAUGACGUUUUUGACUCCCACUGUGAUCAAGGGGGACGCUACGGGGGCGCAGGUCGUAGCUCACGAGCUUGCUCAUAGCUGGACGGGGAAUUUGAUUACUAAUAAGAACAAUGAUCAUUUCUGGUUGAAUGAGGUAUAUGAUUAUUUAGAUGAGUUUGUAGUGUUAGGUUGUUGAAUGAUAUCUGUGAUUGCUGUUGAUAGCUUCUAAUUUCUGAGCAUGCAUAGAUUUAUGGCCUCCGUUUUUGCUUUUGAUUGUGAUGGGUGAAAUGUUGAAUUGGUUUUGUGUAUUCUCCCGUACAAGAUGUAUUGAUGCCCUGAUGCUGUCUGUCUAAUAAAUUGGUGAAGCUAUUAAUUAUUACAAAUGGCAACGGAACAUAAUGUGGAACAAAAUACCUAAAGGGGAUCCUUUAUUGUAGAAUACUUACGUGCAAUUGAACGGCAGGACCUUUAAUUAGUGGAUUGUUUCUUCUUUUGAUGGCUUGCAUUUCAUUGCCAGUAAAGUUCAUGACUUCAUUCUAUUUUUGUAAGAGUUUGUUUCUGGUAUAAAUUGAUCACUGGCUUGAUUGUUGUUUGAUGUAUAUUUUGCAUUUGUGCUAAAUCAAAACUUGUCAUACUUGUCAUCCUUUUAAAACAAGUAAUAUCAAACUAAUUGUUAUAUGCACCCUGUUUUGGAUAUAGCUUGUAAACACUGUUUUUCUGUGAGAAUAAUUUAGUAAGGUAUGCCUAUUAUUUUUAUAAUUGAUGGGUCAAUUUGUGGAGUAUUGGUAAAUUGGUCAACUUUUUUUGUUAUGUGAGCGCCAAAAGAAACACUGGCUUUAUCUGGGUGACAUUCACAGAAAAAUGAAGGCUACAUUAGCUGUUGUCUUUCUCAAAAAUGGUUAAUUUUUUUGCCUCUGAUAACCCGAUUUAUCUGCUAGUGCUUUAUGUUUAUGAUUGAGAUUCUACUUGUAGGGUUUCACAACAUAUGCUGAGCGGCGAAUAGUUGAGGUUGUGCAAGGAAAGGAAAGGGCCAUACUCAAUAUUGGAAUUGGUUGGAGAGGACUCGUUGAGCAAAUGGAGAGGUUUAAGGACCGAAUGGAAUUUACAAAACUUAAAACCAACCAGCAAGGGGUGGACCCAGAUGAGGUAUAUUCUGAUGUGCCCUAUGAGAAGGGUUUCCAGUUUUUGUGGCGCAUUGAGAGACAGGUACACGCAUAUUUGCUUUAUCUUCCACUACUUGGUGAUCUUUAUAUAGUAGUAUAUAUUUACUAAAAAGCUUAAUUUGUGUUGUUUGUAAUUUGUGCACAGAUUGGGAGGCCUGCAUUUGAUGAGUUUCUUAAAAAAUAUAUUGCCACCUUCAAGUUCCAGUCUAUUGACACUGACAUGUUUCUUGAUUUCCUAAAAGCAAAUAUCCCUGGAAUAGAAGAUCAAAUUGAUCUAAAAGUAUGGACUGAGGGAACUGGCAUACCUCCAGAUGCAAUGGAGCCUGUUUCUGAAAUCUAUACAAAGAUUGUGUCGUUGGCUAACGAGUUUAAGUCAGGCAGGAUGCCAAAUGAGGAUGAAGUUGCUCAAUGGAGAGGACAGGAAUGGGAGCUUUACCUUGAAAAUUUGCCUAAAUCUGUUGAAGGUUCACAGGUACAGUAAGGAACACAACUAGUGUUCUUGCACUAUUCUGAAAUAAUAUCUGGGUUUCGCCAAGUUGUGAUCUUCCUGUUUUAGUGGGUUUAGAUGUUCUUGCUUCUCAAUUAUGUCAUAUGUGUUCGAUUCCCAGAAUAUCCUUCUUUGCUUCUCAUGUCAUACAAAAUAAAGCAUAACUGACUUUCAUCGCUUUCCUGUCUCCGCAGUAGUUGCACUAUCUUAUAUUUACUGUGUAGAAUGCAGUAAAUCUGAUACAAACUUUGUCAUGUUGGUCGUAUCACAGCUAGCAGCUCUAGACGAGCGUUAUAGGCUUGCUGAAUCAAAAGAUUACGAGGUCAAAGUGGCGUUUCUUCAGCAUGCUAUUGCAUCUAGGUGCAGUACCUACUAUAAUGAGGUUGAGAAAACUCUGAAAGAAGUUGGACGGAUGAAGUAUCUGCGGCCGCUCUAUACUGCACUAGUACAAGGCGCAGGCAAAGAAGAGGAGAAGAUGUUUGCAAGGAGGGUUUUCUCGGAGGCUUGCGCAAGCUAUCACCCUAUAGCUAAGGGUGUUGUUGAGGCCAUAUUUGCCAAACAUUUGUAAGUUCCCUUCUGUGUGAUCUAGCUGAAGAAUACUGUUUCCUACUCUUUCACCCUGUGGAAUAACUCGUCGAUUUCGGGUUCUAACUCGAGAUGCGUUCUGGGUUUAACUGAAUCUGCAUAGAUUUUUCCUUUUGUGGAGUUGCUAUAAAUCUGGCAGCUGCCAUGUCUGUAAAUCGACCGUCAAAUGUUUUCUGCACAGUAGGAAUGAAUAUGGUAAGUUAUCUGAAUUGCUGUAUCUUUGUAAAGUAAAUCCUAUGAAUAUGAUUAUAGAAGUAGAACAAUAGAAAUAAUGGAAACAAAACACCGACCCCAACCUUCAAUCAAGGCAAGCCUAUAAUUUUAAUGUAGUUUUAUUGCAAUUAGUUAUAUUAUAAUUUUAAAUAUCAUAGAAUCCCAUAUAUAAUACUUUCUCUAUCCAUGAUAUCGUUUACAUUUUGUGGACGACACAGGUUUUAAGAAAAUUGUCGAUAGUAGUUGAUAGUAAUGACUAAUGAGUGGAGUUUGAGUUCCACUAUUAUUGUGAGUGGACUUUUACGGAUCCCACUGCUAUAAAUGAGAGUGAAAAUGAAAUUGUAGACGAACCAAAAUGGUAAAAGUAGAAACGAUAUCGUCGACGGAGGAGGUAAAAAAUAUUCUCUUAUGUGGCAUUUUCAAAUUUUGCCAUUUCAAAAUAAUUUAACUAUCCUUUAUUUGCAAUUAUUCUUAGGGUAAAUAUCAUGAAAACCCGUGAAGUAUAUUCGUUUUAUCAAAAAUACCCUGAAACUUUCAAAAUGUUCUUAUAACCUCCAAACUAUUAAGUUUUUAUCAAAUAUAUUUUGCAUCUAUUUUUCGGUCACAAAAAACGUGAUGUGGCUCGUCGGAUGCUUCAAUGUAAUUUAUAUUCUAUUUUUUUUAAAUGCAAUGACAAAAACGACGUCGUUUCGUACACUCUAUGAGUCAAAUAGAAAGGAAUUAUCAAACAUGCAAUCAAAUUUGAAGACGAUUUCUCCAACGGAUUUAAUUUUGUUUGAGGCUGUAAGUACCCUGCCACUUCCAUUGGAAUUACUACCAAAAACAUUGCGCGAUUAAAUUCACAAGCUAUUCAAGUCCUAAUUUUUUAUUCUCAAGAACAUAAUGAUUUCCGAAGAAGAAAAUUCUACCAAGUAUAAGCGAUUUCAUCUUAAGAUACACUCUAUCUUCUCAAUGAUUUCCAAUGCACAUCCCCUUAGAUUCUAGGUGUUUUACACUAUAAAUAUAAGACUUUUAAAUUCGAACACACUGAUUUCAUCAAUUGUUAAUCUUCGUCUGUAACAAUGUAUUUUUAGUUGGAAAUCUAAGCCUUCAAACACUCACCCAGUUUGAAGUUAGAAUCCAAGUAAGCUACAUGUGUUAGUAGUCUGAAAGCUAAGAAGUUGUUUAUGGACACGACUGUGUAACUUAUGGAUCAACAAUUCAGCAUAACGCAAAUUGUUAAUCAAGCUGACUUGCAGAGUUCAAAAUUAUAAGUAUUACUUCCUCCGUCCCUCAAAUAUCUUUCUAAGGGAGGAUGUCACGAGUUGUAAUAAAAAUUAGUUGUGUAUUUGAUGAGUGAAGAAUGAGUCUCACAAAAAGUGAAGAUGGUAAGGAUAAUAGUUAGUGAAAUUAUUUUUAAAAUAAAAUAGGAAGAUAUUUUAGGGACAUACCAAAAUAAAAAGAAAUAAAAAUAUUUGAUGGACGGACAUGGUAUUUUUUAGUUGGGGGACGAAGACUUGUAUUAGGAUCAUUUACUUUUAGAGGAGGGAUAUUAUUCAUAAACUAAAAUAGUUAACACCGCGGGAUUAAUAUAUGACAACAUAAAUGAAAAGAACAAAUAAUUUUAAAGAUUUUGAGUUUGAAUUUAUAACUUUUUCUAAAACAUUAAUCAUAUUACCAGUUAAUUAACGGGAUGAGAUUCAGUGUCCCACAAUUUUAUGUGUGCCACUGUAUCUUAUGCUUAUAUUUAUUAUUUUAAAAAUAAUUUUUUAUAAAAAUAAAAUUUAUUAUAAUACUAUGAAUUAAAUUAUAUUUCAUGUAGCAAUUUGAAAGCACAUGAUAGGUGGAUCUCAAGUGAAAAAAAAUGAAAAUUUUAAUGUAAAAGAAAAUUGAAAUCUGAUUUGGAGUGGGUGAUGUGAAUCAUACCAUUUCCUCGUAAUCUUCAACUAAACAGAACAACUCCAUUUCAUCAACUCCAUUAUAUAUCAAAACUAUAUAUACCUCUUCUCAUCCAUUCUUCCUUCUUCACUAAUCAAUUUCACUAAUCAAGUAUCAAGAUGCCUAAUCUUCUUAUUCUCUCCUUACUAUUGUUAGCCACCACUUUGGCCAAUUCAACCCGAAUUCUCAUCGAUGUCACCCCAACACCCGACCCGAUAUCACCGCCGGAAGAGGCCGACAUCCCCGCCCCGGUGGCGGCCACCACCAAUGCCGCGGUAGCGCCAAUUCCCGAUGAACCGGCCCCGGUCAUUGCACCCGUCUCCGACCUCCCCGAUUCCGAUGCGCCACCACUGACCACCCCUACUGCCGCCACCGUCACCAAUGCCGGCGUAGCGCCAAUCCCAGAUGAACCGGCCCCCGUCGUUGCACCAGUACCCGACGUCCCUGACUCGAAAGCGCCACCACUAACCACCCCUACCGCCGCUCCCACCACCAAUGCCGGCGUGGCGCCAAUCCCAGAUGAACCGGCCCCCGUCGUCUCCAGCUCACCGCCACUAACCACCCCCACCCCCACAUUUUCUUUUUUCAUGCAUGACAUCCUCGGCGGUUCAAACCCCUCCGGCAGGGCUGUGGCCGGAAUCCUGGCCAGCUCCGACGCCAACAACCUCCCGUUCUCGAAAACCAACAACCAAAUCUUCCCCAUAAACGGCGGCGUGCCGCUCAACACCGUCAACGGCGUCGUGAACAAUAACAACCUCCCCUUCCUCGUGGGCCUCAACGGCUCCCCGUCCAACACCGUCGUCCAAAACAAUGGCAACAACGUCGUAUCCGGCGGCGGCAGCCAGCCCUUCGUGACGGCAGGGCAGCUCCCGGCGGGGCUGACGCUGCAGCAGCUGACGUUCGGGUCGGUGACGGUGGUUGACAACGAGAUCACGGCGGGGCACGAGCUGGGGUCCGCCGUGCUCGGCAGAGCUCUGGGGUUCUACCUGACGAGCUCGAGCGACGGCAGCAGUCACACGCUGGUGCUGACGGCGGUGUUCCACGGCGGCGAGAUGUUCGAUACGCUGAGCUUCUUCGGGGUGCAUCGGACAGCGACGCCCAUCUCUGACAUCGCCAUUGUUGGUGGGACUGGGAAAUAUGAGAAUGCUAAAGGCUUUGCGGCCAUUGAAACUCUUCCGCAUGUGGAUCAGCACACCACUGAUGGCGUCGAAACCAUCACUCAUUUCACUAUCUAUCUUACUCCCUGAACAACAUUCUCGACUCUCACAUUUUAAGUAUAUAUGUGUUUUCUUGGAGUCAUCUCCAUUGUAUUUCACUAUUUUCUUUAUUUUCCAUUUCCAUUAAAAAUUCACUGCGAAAGUUGAGAUGUCAUACUUUUUAAUUCAUAUCAUACGAUCGAUGGACUCUAAAGUUAAUUAGCUAGGUUUACUUUCUCAAAAAAUACACGAUUUAAAAUAGAAGUUGGAAGAAUUGCAAAUUACAAGUAAUUUGUAGCCAUUUAUUUUGAUUUUAUGAUUUGCAACUGAAAGAUUGAAUUACGAUUCUAUUUCUUCCAUUAAAUUCCACAACAACACAAAGGUAUCUACUAAGCUCACAUUCUUCUCCUCAUGUUAUAUGCUUCACACCCAACAAAAGCAUAUUAGAAUACUUUAUAGCAACACCAUACCUUGCAGUGAAAUAGAUUAAUGCAUAGCAUCUGUACUCUACAAACACUAGAAUAGCUUCGUUGAUCGACGCUGACUCACCGCCUGGAAUUAAUUUGGGCUAAACCUUGGGCCCUUGUUUAUUUUCUUUGAUGGGCCUAGUUCUGGGACUGGGCUGUUGUUUUAUUAAGAGGUUGUUUGGCUGAGCUUAAGCUUUUUAAAAUAGCUUAUAAGUUUAUUCAAAGUGUUUAAUAAAAUAAGCUCUUAAAGAACUUAUAAAUUGUAAAAAUAAAGUUUAAGAGCUCUCCCUAAAAAAUAAGUUCCUCUACCUAAUUUAUUUUCUCAUUAUCUUAUAAGCAACACGCAUUUUAUAAAAAUAACUCAACUAUAAUUUUUUAUUUUCAUCAUUUAUUAUUCUAAUUUCAUAUUUUUUUUAUUUCUCUAAUUAAAAAUUCUCUCUCAAACUUGAAAAUUCAAUUAUUCAAACACUUUAACAAUUUAUAAGCUCUUAAGAAACUAUAUUUUAUAAACUUUUGAAACAUCUUAUAAACUCCAAGAGCUUAUAAGCUCUUUAAAAUAAAUUUAAUCGAACAUCCUCUAAGUAAGAGUUGGAGUUUAAUUUAAAAGUGGUUGAGUUGCUUUGUGUUGAGCCUUCUUAAAUAAUUGAGCUGUUUUAUUAUUUGAGUUUAACUAAAGAGAAGUUUAGAUUAAUCAAUUAAUUUGACUUAAUUACUUACUAUUAUGAAUUAAUUUAGAAUGAUGUAUAUUAAUUAGUAAUUAAGUUAGAACACUCUAAGAUGAACAGAUAAUUGAGGUUAUUAUUUUGAUUACAUAAGAUGGACCUUAAUUUUAUUAAUUUAAUCCUAUAACCUUAAUUAUUAAUAUAAUUUCUCGAAUUAUUAUUUUAGAAUAAUAAUUACUUGAAUAAGAGAUAUUUCAUAUUUAAAUUAUGCAUUCUUAAUAAUUGAGAAUUUCCCUGAGCUAAUGUCUUACUUUAUAUUCUAGCAAUAAAGGUCAAUCGCGAGAGUGAGAGUGCUACUCGAAAACUCACGGCGCCUUAGCAAAGUUUUGCUAUCAGGUGGGAUUACUUUCUUAGUAUAUAAAAUGAAGUUAAAUGUUAUGUUUGAACAUUUUUUUUUCAAAAGAAUUUGAAUUGAAAAUAUUUCAAGUAUUUUCUUGUCAUAAAUGUUUCAAUUUUAGUAUGAUAUCUUUUUUUUUUUUGAUCAAUAAUUUUAGUAUGAUAUCUAUCUGCAUUGGCAAAUGACUUUGCCAAUUAUAUAAUCGAAUCUGGAUCUUGAGCGGAUAGCUAUCCUUCCUGAAUUAGUGUACACAAUGACUAUGUGUCAUUGAGAGGGUUGGCCGGUCUAGUGUCCGCAAGAGGUGGUCACCUCUGCUGCAUACAACUUCAGUAUCAAAUAUGGUAGAACUUAGUAUAAUUAGAAGAACUUUAAAAUCGCAAAAGAAUUUAGUAAGCUUGAACCUUUUUAGCUAAAACCCCAUAUUGUACUGUUAUAAUGGCAUGACAAUUAAAUUUUAUGCAAGCAUGUAUAUAGUUUUAGCAUAAAAGCCCACUGAGUACUUUCGUACUCAGCCCUGCAUAUAUUUUUAAAUGUACAGGUAGCAGUGGCUGAUGAUGAAGUGACGAGCAGAGCUUUUGUCGUAGUUAAACAAACUCUUAGGAUACAUGACUUUAUACAUAUAAUCAGAAUAUGUUAUUCUGUUGUGUACGCUCAAGUACUUUAUUAUUUUCACUAAGUCGAUUUCGUUCGAACUUACAACGUAAUGUCGUAGACUUUGUAUGGGGUCUUUCUAACCAAACGUCAGUUAUCUUAUGAAUUACCUUCAUUGACAUUGCUUAUAGUUCGAGCCUUCAUUAAUUGUUCACUCCCUUUUUAUCCUUGUUUCUAAUCUCUCCCCCUUAGUCAUGGUUUUUCGGCCUAACUACCCUUAGCUAAAUCUGAUCGUGACAUACUGAUAUUAGAGCAAGUCAUUUGCCCUGAACCCAAUAGUUACUCAAUUAGUCCUAGUUUGAAUACUAGUAUAAAAGAGUCAGUCGACAAAAACCUCAGUACUUCAUCGCAUCGUCAUGCUCAAUAAAAAGUAAAGCAGUAAAUGAUUUUGAAUAUUGAAAAAAUUUUAUGUUUCAUGUUAAUGUGCAAGUGCUCAUGUUCUAAUUUUAUACCUUAUUGACCGUGUAGAAACCCCAAUGAAUCUAGAUGCGUUAAGAAUGAAUGGUCACUGUUAUAAGAAAAAUAGUAGAAGCAAACUUAGAAGAAAUUCAGUUAUCUCUCAUUGCAAUUCGUAGUCAAGAGAAAGCGAAGAGGAAGAAAAAUCAGAUGUCAUUUAAGAAGGCACGAUAAUUCAAUGAUAAAGAAGUAACGAGGUGUAAAGAAGAGUGUCACUCAUGAGCCAGUGACACGAGCAUGGUUCUUCAUUCCCACUGUUCAUGCGAGACAAAACACCGAAUCAACUAUUGCCUUAUUCAGUGAUUAUUUACUUGAUACAUUGCUCAUAGCGAUGAGUGUAACUUAUAUAAUUAGUUAGUUGUUGCAUAGUGAAAUUCGCCUCAUUUUAAACCCCUCAGUUAUCACUAUUAUGGCAUGAAGAGAGCCUUUAUGAUUUAUUUUUAAGCUCUAGGAAUUAGACUUUCAUGAUGUCAUGAUGUUUAGUAUGUAAGAUUGUGAUGAUGCUAUUAUAUCUGUCAGCUUACAAUUUCAGAUAUUUAGAGCCUUAUUGCUUACAGUUACUCGUUAUGAUAAUUGUGAGUUUGAUUGUGGAACCUUCUUGUUUAGAUGGCAAGGAGACGAUUCACCCUUCAACGACCUUUGCAUCGACAUGCGAGUCUAAAGGCUAUCAGGCGCUAAUAUCGCACUUAUGCCCGAUGUCACGGAUAUGACAUGGGGCAGUGCCUAGCGAGCUACCAUCCUCACUAGGUUGUUACGAGUGCUCAUCUGGUAACAGGUUACAACGGGAUCAUACGGCUAGUUCAAUUGCUACCAUCGAAUUGGCAAGGUUGCGCAACACAGAUUUUCACUCGUUUUCUCUUUCGGUCAGGCGAAUACUUUGACCCAACUGGAGACCUUUCUUGAUUAGUCUCGGAGAUCCAGACUUGCUUCCCUUUUAGAGCAAUGCCCAUCAAUAACCAUAUAUUCUUCUAGAAGCCUAUAUGCAGGUUGGAGUGCUCUGAAUUGCUAGAUCACAAGAGGCAACACUGGAGUUGGCCCCACAUGCAGUUGCCCCAGGGUUGCAGUUGAUUCCACUGUAGAGUCCUUAUUCGACAACCCCCAAACUAUGACACGUGGGACUAAUAAUAAAUCAAUAAUGAAGCAAGCCCAGGCUCGUAAGGAGUUUCCUCAUCGUAUGGACUCAGUAUAUUAGUUACAUACUCGUCUAUCGUCACAGACACAUUUGACUGACGUGGAGUCUGCAGCUGCUAUGACUGAUGCUAACAAUGUCAUAGCCGACACUAAGGAUUUUAUUGCAAAGAGCAAGGCUCUGGUUCAGGGCGACAGUUCAUCACAACACUGCGCAAUAAGGACUAUCCGCCCAUAGCUCCCUCCACCUCUAACCCUAUAUGAGCCUCGAGCUACCACGACCAGGAUUUGCAUGAGUAUCGAUGUGACUCGAAGGAUCACAAAUGACCUAGUUUGAUCAAUUCUCGUAGGACAGGCCGCACGCAAGGGAGAAUCGCACAUGCCCAACGAGAACUUAGAGGAGAAGGAUCCCGAUGAGGACCUACCUACCUCACCAGCGAGCAGCCAUGCCCCGACCUAGGGAUCUGACAUUUGACCUCUUUAGAUCAGUUUAUAUGUAUUUAGUAGGAUGAUAUCUAUGUAUUUAGGAAACGAUAACUCGUUUUGAUGCUUUUAUAGGACUACUAUGUUAGAUUAUUUUCUUAUGAUUGGUAUUAGUACGAAAACACUAAUCCAUAGGAAUUUUCGUAACUAAGUACUUUUUGUGAUGUCUUUGUUAGUCAGCCUCUACAUCAUGCAUAGUAAUUGGAUAGAUCAAUAGAUCUAGAUUCAAAUAUCUGAUGCAAAAGCCCUCGUCGAGAUAAUUUUCCGAUAUUUAUAUAGCGACAUUAUCGAUCUUUUUGCAGCAAGUCAUUUACAUUAUGUUUUAUUCAUGUACAUUGUAUAAGAAAGAGUAUGGACGAGAUUUGAGGAAAUCAAGAAGCAAUUAUAGUAAAGGAACAUCAUCAGCUUCUAUAAUUGUCUCUUGAUUUCCUCAAAUCUCAUUCAUACUCUUUCUUAUACAAAUCACAUUAAUAAAACAUAAUUAAAGUGACUUGGCGCAAAAGAUUGAUAAGGUCGCUAUAUAUAUAAGAAAAUUGCCUCAACGAGUGCUUUUACAUCAGAUUUUUGAAUCUAGAUCUACAGAUCUAUCCAAGUACUUCACAUAAUGUACAUGCUGAUUAGCAAAGUCAUCACAAAAAGUACUUAGCCACAUAACGCCUUGUGGACUAGCGUUUCUGCACUAAUACUAGUCAUAAGAAAAUAAUCUAAUAUAGUGGUCGUACAAAAAAAUUGGAAGGAGUCAUCAUUUCCGGAAUACAUAGAUAUCAUCCUCCUACUAAAUACAUAUAAAUUGAUAUAAAGAGGUCAAAUGUCAGAUCAUUUGGUCGGGAAUGGCUGCUCGCUGGUGAGGUAGGUAGGUCUCCUCGGGAUCCUUUUCUUGUGAGUCAUCGCUGGGAAGUGCGACUCCCCCUCACCUGCAGCAUGUCCUAUGAGAACUGAUCUGACAAGGUCAUCUGCGAUCCCUCAAGUCACAUUGGUACUAGUGUGAAUCCUAAUCGUGGUGGCUCGAGGCUUAUACUGGGCUGGAAGUGGCGAGAGCUCUAGGUAGAUAGUCUCUACUGCGUCAUGAUGUGCUAAAUCAUCGCCCUGAACUGGAGCCUUGCCAUUGGCAAUAAAAUCCAUAGUGUCGGUUAUGGCCUUGUCAACGUCAGCCACAGUAGCUGCAAACACCGUAUCAGUCAAAUGUGUCUGCGAUGACUGGUAAGUAGGAUACUAAGAGAUAUUGUGUCCAUAGGGAAAUGACACUCUCUACGGGCCCGGGGCCUGCCUCAUCAUCAUGGGUCCCACUAUGCCCUAGAAUGGGGUCAUCGAGUAAGGGCCCUGCAGUGGAAUCACCUGCAAAUCUGGGCCAACUGCCUGUAGGGCCAGCUCCAGUGGUGCGUCUUGUGAUCCGGCACUCACGGGCACUCCAACCUAUAUAUGCUCCUAUGAGAAUAUAUGGUCCUCGAGGGGCAUUGCCCCUAAGAAUGAAGCAAGUCUGGAUCUUCGAAACUAAUCAAGAAAGGUCUCUAGUUGGGUCAAAGUAUUCGCUUGAGCAAAAAAGAAAACGAGUGGAAAUUUGUGUUGCGCAACCCUGCUAGUUCGAUGGCAAUAACUGAAUUAGAUGUAUGAUCCCAUUGUAACUUGAUACCAAAUGAGCGCUCGCAGCAACCCAAUCACCUGAAAAGUCAACAGUUUUACUGACUUACUCGUUAUGUCAAAAGUUAUUAACUGGUGUGUUUUCCUUUUACGCUAAUACAUAAUCACCUGGGAUCUACAAAAAUUGCAUAAUAGUGAUAGUAAUCAUUUAUUUUUCUCAAUAAUUUACUAUAAUCAACAAUUGCGGCUUUUCCUUUUGAUCCAUCCUUUUCAUUAUAUAUAUAUGAACAAAUUAAGAGAGCUUCAACUAGUUUAAUACUUUCUCAAUCCUAUUCGAAAUGUUUCAUUUUUUGAUUUAGGUCAUCUAAAUAUCUAUUUUGAGACUCCCAACACACAUUAGUCAACCUCAAUAUAUAUAAUUCAUAAAUUACAUAUAUACCACAAAACAAUCACUGAUAUCUAUAUUCUCUCUCUUACUUGGUUUGAUAAAAUACACCAAAAAAUCUACUUUUUUUCAAUUUUAUUAUAAAUAUAUCUAAAAAAAUGAGACAUGCACUUCGAGUGGAACGAGAAUAUAUAAUUGAGAUAUAUAUAUAUAAUAAAAAUUUAUAUUGUAAAUUUCUACACAUAAAUAAAUCUCUACUCUCGGUUGCACGAUAACUAAUUUGUUUUUAGAUAUAAUUAAGAAGCUCUUGAUAUAUUGUUUGCUUGUAUAAAGCAUACAGAAAUUGAGUGGAGAGAGUUAUAUUGGAUAGUAGAGGCCCCACGACGAGAAGUGAGAAUCACCAGUUGUUUUAAUCGGCUUAGAUAGAGCAGCACAUGUGGCACAAACUAAUUGGAACCACCUUCAUUCGGAUAGGAUAACGGAUCACAUUUGCAUCAAACAUGUAUCACAACGCACUAUAUUUUUAACUAAGCACACAUACACACACACACACACACACACUCACUCUUCUGAGAAAAAGAAAAAGAAAUAUAGUUAAUUUGCAAUGGCAUCGUCUAUGACCAUGACCGCCUCGUUCUUGGGUGGUGCCGCCGCUGCUAAGCAGGUCCCGGCCAGCAACCGCCGCGGUUCGUUGGUGGUUAGAGCCUCAAAGAUGGUGGAAGACGCGAGCAAGGAGGAGAGCAACAAUACGAGAAGGGGCCUGAUGUUGGCGGUGGCCGCCGCCGCAGCAUCCACCGUCGCAAAAGUUGCCAUGGCCGACGAGCCCAAGCGCGGAACUCCAGAUGCUAAAAAGAAGUAUGCACCUGUAUGCGUCACAAUGCCUACCGCUCGUAUUUGUCGCUAUUGAUUAAUCAUCCAUGUUAAUAAACCAUCCAAUUUAUGCUUUUUUUCAUCAAUCAAUGCUUAAUUUCGGAGAAAUGAUGUAAAAUCGUAUUCUUGUUGCUAAAUUAUCGUAUUUAGUUAUGAUGGUUAUUUAUUUAUUUAUUAAUGUUAGUGGUGACAUUUAGGUGGAAUUAAGCACUCCAGUAGUAUUAAAGACGAUCAAAUGAAACUCAGUUUGGGGUAUAUUUUUAAAAAAUUAGGCCAUAGGUCCAAUAGAGGUUAAAGCACAUAUGUCAAAAAAUAAAGGGUAACUGGUGUAUAAAUACAUGAACUCUACUCAUUUUUUUCGUAUUUAACAUAAACUUCAAAUUCUAGUUAUAAAUACAUGAACUUUACUCAUUUUUAGUAUUUAACAUGAAUAUUAAAACAUAGUUAUAAAUACAUGAAUUUUAAACUUAUUCAAUUUUUGACUCGUUUUUCAUUUUUCUCAAAUUAAAGUUGACUUCGAAUACCUGAAUCUUGACGUGGACAAUUCGUCGUUGAGAUACAACGACAUCAUUUUUUGGUAGAGGAAAAUAAUUCAAAACUAAAAUAUGAAAGUGAACGAUAAAAA
rnacentral:lncRNA from 1 species